rnacentral:lncRNA from 1 species
AUGGUGUCCUACCUUCUUUUGAAACUAGAGGGUUCUGCACGGCCCAGCGUCUGCUUUCUAUUUCUGUGGUUCAGACACGACUGUUUGUUAAGAUAAUGAUGGAGAACACUGACAUCAGGCACACAUGGGACUUAACGGAUUUUGCUGACUAUUUUUGAAAGCUCUAUAGGAUGUGUGGUAAGGAGCAGGGUGCAUUCGCCCUGGCUCUGCUGGUGCAGCUCAGUAUGUUUGGGAGUAACUGUGGCUUCUGAACCAGACUCACACUGUGUAGCCAUGGAAGAGCAAAGCGCUGUGUGCUACAUAAACUGUGCCUCUGCUAUACACAAGCAAGAUUGUCAGACGGCAAGCCCAAACGUGUGUUCUUUCUAUUGUCCCAUUAAAAGGACAAUCUGGAAGAUGCCACCUGGUCAAUCGAUUCAUAUUCUCCACCUGACACAGGGCAGCCUGCCAACCUGACACUUAUUCUCAGGCUGCUUUUCUUUGCUAGGGUAGCCACUAUUUUUUUUUCUCAUUUGGUUUUUGUAAGUAUUCAAAUUUGAGCAAAAAUAAAAAAUGUUCAGCUAAUC